CUGUUAACUUGCUGCCUAAUAUUUCCCACACGUGCCAUUGUAAUAUAAUCAAUAUUACCUGUCAGUGGUUUUAAUGUUGUGGCUGGUCAAUGUAGUGGUGAUGGUGAUUGUAGUGUUCCUUUAACUAGCAUGUUGGGCAAAAAUACCCAAAGAAUUAUAUAUUGGUAGACAUUGACUGCUGCUGACAUCUGGUGUUAUGUUAUGACAUUAUACCACUCUUUUUUCUGCACUGCUCAUAUCUGGCUAUACAACAAAAUGACAGAUUAACAUGCAAUUUCCU